rnacentral:lncRNA from 1 species
AAUUAUCGUUCCAUGGAAAGAUAAAACAAAUCAAUAGUUGUAACAAAAAUUUACAAACUAAUUAGUUACAAGAAAUUUAAAAAAAUAUACCCUCAAAUGCUUUUCAAAGUCUAAUCUCCAAGUGAUGGAGGCUUUGUUGCAAAGUGAACGACCAAGUCAUCUAAGAGAAACAUGACUAAAACUUCCAAAAUCUUCUGUGUACCCAUAUCCCUCUUCUUUUAAAGUUUCCAGAAUGUUUAGAAUGCUCUCCUUGCCCUGUUAUUUCAAGUGUCAGGGGAAAAAAAGUCACAAAGUCAUAGAAAGUAACUAUAUUUAUUGAAGAGUAUCAUGUAAACUUGUAUGAAGUACAUAUAGUCAUAUAUACAUGCAAGAUUCUAAACAGUACCUCUUUAACGGAAUGGUGUUAUUUUUGUAAUCCAAAGGAACUGUUGAAAGUGCAGGUUCAAGUGGAAAAGUCGUAAAUGUUUCAUUAAGCAUUAAUUUUGCCUUCUGUAGUUCAUGUUGCACUUUAUCCAAAUUUCCUUCAAUAUUGUAAAGCAUUGCUUGUAAAAGCAUCUGCUCACUCCUGACCCCACACUUUUGGUUCCCUAUUAGAUGCAGCAUCAAGAACAGAGAACAUGAUCACACCAAACAUAAUCAAUAAUCAGAUUGAAGUAUAUAUUAUGAGUAAGUAAUAAAGUACAUGCAACACAAUAAAGUAUUAUUAAGGAACUUAUGAUUUCAAAUAUUAUUGUUUACACUCAGAUGCCAAAAUAUUUUAUGUUAUUCUUCUACAAGUUGAGAACCAACUCAAACAUGAAAGAUAAUAGUCCAUCUGGCAGCUUUUGAUGACAUGGCAAAUGAAAUUUCUCAGAGAUAAAAUAAUACCUGUACUAUUAAAAUGAUGGCAACCACAACAGGUGGUCCAAUAACUACAUCCAAAAACAUGCCUUUAAU